AUUGAACGCUGGCGGCAGGCCUAACACAUGCAAGUCGAGCGGAUGAAGGGAGCUUGCUCCUGGAUUCAGCUGCGGACGGGCGAGUAAGGCCUAGGAAUCUGCCUGGUAGUUGGGGAUAACGUCCGGAAACGGGCGCUAAUACCGCAUACGUCCUGAGGGAGAAGGGGGGGGAUCUUCGGACCUCACGCGAUUAGAUGAGCCUAGGUCGGAUUAGCUAGUUGGGUGGGUAAAGGCCUACCAAGGCGACGAUCCGUAACUGGUCUGAGAGGAUGAUCAGUCACACUGGAACUGAGACACGGUCCAGACUCCUACGGGAGGCAGCAGUGGGGAAUAUUGGACAAUGGGCGAAAGCCUGAUCCAGCCAUGCCGCGUGUGUGAAGAAGGUCUUCGGAUUGUAAAGCACUUUAAGUUGGGAAGAAGAGCAGUAAGUUAAUACCUUGCUGUUUUGACGUUACCAACAGAAUAAGCACCGGCUAACUUCGUG
rnacentral:rRNA from 1 species